ensembl:lncRNA
GAGAAAACCCCCGCAAGAAGGGGGGAAGAUUCAGCGAAUGGUCGGCGAUGACAUGUUUUAUUUGUCUCGUGUAUCCCACGCUGCCGCUCGUGUUGGGAGAGCUCAUCCCCUCGGAUGAGCACACACACAAACCACACACACACACACCAACACACACUCACCACCGAGGAUGCAGACGAGAGCAUGAGUUCGGACCGAGCGCAGGAUGACACGGUCUGUCAGAAAGCCGUGACCCUAAUCGUUGACCUUUGUCUGGCCGACGGGGAGCUGCUCGCUCAGGACACCUGCCAGGAUUUCUUCUUCCUGUUGUCCAAACAGAGCUCCGACCACCCAGAACCAGAUUUCAUCCAUUCUUUGAUGUUCCCGGUAGUUUUCAUGCAGAUCCAAUACUGACCGUAUCUUCUGAAAAGUCCUAAUCCUGCCUUCACAAGGGUUCUUCCUCUGCAGCAGCCUGACAUUUCCAAACU